CCAAAUAGUACAGUUUAUUCUUUAAAGUUUCCCCUGUUUCGCUGUCUGACAGUUCCGACCACUCUUCACUAAAAAUUAAUUAUCUCAUUGUACAGAAUUCGGAUGAUGUUUUAGCUUGUUUUUUCUAAAAAUAGACUCAUUAAGGAUUCUAACCAUAUAAACUAUAACUCAUAAUAAUUUCUGUACAAUUUUUAAUGAUUUUCCAAAGUCAGAACAGGGGAACCCGAAUUCAUUCUGACCUUGUCUCACAAAAUCUAUUAUAUCUCAUGAUUUACAAUUCCAUUGCUCACAUCAUUUCUUUUAUAAGAAAC
rnacentral:lncRNA from 1 species